GCCAGACUCCUACGGGAGGCAGCAGUGGGGAAUAUUGCACAAUGGGGGAAACCCUGAUGCAGCGACGCCGCGUGAGUGAAGAAGUAAUUCGUGAUGUAAAGCUCUAUCAGCAGGGAAGAAAAUGACGGUACCUGACUAAGAAGCCCCGGCUAACUACGUGCCAGCAGCCGCGGUAAUACGUAGGGGGCGAGCGUUGUCCGGAAUGACUGGGCGUAAAGGGAGUGUAGGCGGCCUUUUAAGUUAUGUGUGAAAGCCCACGGCUCAACUGUGGAAUUGCACAUAAAACUGGGAGGCUGGAGUGCAGGAGAGGUAAGCGGAAUUUCCAGUGUAGCGGUGGAAUGCGUAGAUAUUGGGAAGAACACCGGAGGCGAAGGCGGCUUACUGGACUGUAACUGACGCUGAGGCUCGAAAGCGUGGGGAGCAAACAGGAUUAGAUACCCGAGUA
rnacentral:rRNA from 1 species